CGCCCUGUCAUCACUUCGCCAAGCGGAAUCUGAAUUGAGGUCUCAUACAACUGACGAUAUAGAUGAUUUUGAUGCAGCCUCUUUUGUCAGUGAAACAAGGGCCUUGUUUAGAAGUAGAUCUGUGGACUCAUCACAAAGGACAGGAAAGACAGGCAGAAAAAAAGGACGGCAAAGGGGACAUUUAUGGAAGACUCAUUUUUUCUUACUGCAAAAGAACAAUGAAGAAUUUGUACCACCACCGUCUGAACUAUCAAGACUGACAAGAAAUGGAUUAGAGAACAGAAGGAAGGAUGUUAAAUGAAAGCCGUCAAGUAACAGCAGGAAGCAAUGCAUCAGUGACCCAAUUGCAAGUUCAGGAGCAGGUGCAUAUACAAGAAUUGUCAAAUGGAAAUAUUGGUACAAGGACUUCAGAAAAUCCCAUUGUAGAAGACUACCACCAAAGAGAAAAUGAGGU